rnacentral:rRNA from 1 species
UACGUAGGGUGCGAGCGUUAAUCGGAAUUACUGGGCGUAAAGGGUGCGCAGGCGGUUAUUUAAGACAGAUGUGAAAUCCCCGGGCUCAACCUGGGAACUGCGUUUGUGACUGAAUAGCUAGAGUGCGGCAGAGGGGGGUAGAAUUCCACGUGUAGCAGUGAAAUGCGUAGAGAUCAGGAGGAACACCGAUGGCGAAGGCAGCCCCCUGGGCCUGUACUGACGCUCAUGCACGAAAGCGUGGGGAGCAAACAGG